rnacentral:rRNA from 1 species
CAGUCGCCGCGGUAAUACAAAGGGUGCAAGCGUUAAUCGGAAUUACUGGGCGUAAAGCGUGCGUAGGCGGUUUGUUAAGUCUGCUGUGAAAUCCCCGGGCUCAACCUGGGAAUGGCAGUGGAUACUGGCAAGCUAGAGUGUGUCAGAGGAUGGUGGAAUUCCCGGUGUAGCGGUGAAAUGCGUAGAGAUCGGGAGGAACAUCAGUGGCGAAGGCGGCCAUCUGGGACAACACUGACGCUGAGGCACGAAAGCGUGGGGAGCAAACAGGAUUAGAUACCCCCGUAGUCCCUGUCUCUUAUAA